CACAGUGUGCCCCCCCGUGUCCCCCCAUAUCCCCUUCAGUGUCCCCCCAUUUUCUCCCCCUUCCCCCCGGUGUCCCCCCCCGUGUCCCCCCCGUGUCCCCCAUCAUGUCCCCCCCGGUGUCCCCCCCGUGUCCCCCCCAUAUCCCCCCGUGUCCCCCGCAAUGUCCCACCCGUGUCCCCCCCAUAUUCCCCCAUGUCCCCCACCGUGUCCCCCCAUAUCCCCCUCAGUGUCCCCCCGUGUCCCCCCCGUGUCCCCCCCGGUGUCCCCCCCAUAUCCCCCCGUGUCCCCCCCGGUGUCCCCCCCGUGUCCCCCCCGGUGUCCCCCCCGUGUCCCCCCCGUGUCCCCCCCGUGUCCCCCCCGGUGUCCCCCCCGUGUCCUCGCGCCGUGGGGAGGGCGGGGGGGUCCCUCCCUCCCUCCCACCCGGGGCCCAACGCGCCGCCUCCAUCUUGUGCCGCCGCCGCCGCCGCCGCCGCGACAUCCCCGGCCCCGGGACAGGCCCCGCCUCCGCCUGCUCCUCCGACACCGCCCGCGGCAGGACGGGGCCCCGUGACGUCACUCCCAGCCCAGCCAAUGAGCAUCCAGGAGGCCCGGCCGGCUGUGACCCCCCCCCGAGGACCCCCGGAGCUGCAACACCCAGUCCAUGAGGGCCCCGCGCACAGGUGGGCACUGGGGGGUACUGGGGGAUACUGGUGGGCACUGGGGGGGUACUGGGGGAUACUGGGGGAUACUGGGGGAUACUGGGGGGCACUGGGAGACACUGGGAGGGCACUGGGGGGCACUGGGGGGCACUGGGAGGGCACUUGGAGGCACUGGGGGAUACUGGGGGGUACUGGGAGGGUACUGGGGGAUACUGGGAGGGCACUGGAGGAUACUGGGGGAUACUGGAGGGGCACUGGGGGAUACUGGGGGGCACUGGGAGGGCACUGGGAGGGCACUGGGGGAUACUGGGAGGCACUGGGAGGGCACUGGAGGAUACUGAGAGGAUACUGGAGGGGCACUGGGGGAUAUUGGGAGGGCACUGGGGAAUACUGGGGGGCACUGGGGGGCACUGGGGGGUACUGGGGGGCACUGGGAGGGCACUGGAGGAUACUGGGGGAUACUGGGAGGACACUGGAGGAUACUGGGGGAUACUGGAGGGGCACUGGGGGAUACUGGGGGGCACUGGGGGGUACUGGGGGUUACUGGGGAGCACUGGGAGGGCACUGGGCGAUACUGGAGGGGCACUGGGAGAUACUGGGAGGCACUGGGAGGGCACUGGAGGAUACUGGGGGAUACUGGAGGGGCACUGGGGGAUACUGGGAGGGCACUUGGAGGCACUGGGGGAUACUGGGAGGGCACUGGAG
rnacentral:lncRNA from 1 species